GACGAACGCUGGCGGCGUGCUUAACACAUGCAAGUCGAACGGAAAGGCCCUGCUUUUGUGGGGUGCUCGAGUGGCGCACGGGUGUGUAUCACGCGAGUAACCUGCCCCUGACUUUGGGAUAACUUAAGGAAACUGGGGUUCUUAUCGGAUAGGAGAACCUGCAGCAUGGUGGGGGUUGGUGAGAUUUGGCGGUUGGGGAUGGAAUGGCGGCCUAUCAGCUUGUUGGCGGGGUAGUGGCUUAACAAGGCUCUGACGGGUAGCCGGACUGAGAGGGUGACCGGCCACAUUGGCACUGGGGUGCGGGCCGUACGCCUUCUGGAGGCAGCAGUGAGGGAUAGUGCACGAUGGGCGGAAGCCGUAUGCAGCGACGCCGCGUGCGAGAUGUCUGCCGGCGGGGUAGAAACCGCUUGCGCCUGUGACGAAGCUUAAGUGACGGUAAUGAGUAAAGAAGCACCGGCUAACUACGUG
rnacentral:rRNA from 1 species